ACACAAAGAUUGGGUUAUAUUAACAAAUAUAAAAUGUUUUAGCGAAUAAUAUCCAUUUGCAAUGCUAAAUUUAAUAAGUAAAGUGAAGGAGGUACAUGAAAAAAUUGUAUAGAUAACGAUAAAGAAUAAGAGAAUCAAGAGGAUAAGAUAAGCUACAAUGUAUAGUAUAUCAAGAUUAUAGCUAAAUAAUACUUUCUUCCGAUUGAAAUCAAAAAUAUUUGCCCCGGGUGAGGAUCGAACUCACGACCUUAAGAUUAUGAGACUUACGCGCUGCCUACUGCGCUACCGAGGCGCUUGCAAAGCUCUACUCCAAUACAUAUGAAAUUAAUAUCACGAACCAAAAGGAACGGAAGAUUAAAUGUUUCACACGAAGCCUGAGAAAAAGAUAAAACACGUGAAGCAAUGCAGGGAAAAAAUGAUGUCAGCAUCUUGGAUACAAUUUCUACAGAAUUUUCUGAAGGGGAACUCCUAAACCGGAUUCAGAACGUUCAAAGCAGUAAUAUAUCCUAAUUAAAAAAUCGACGCCUCUUCGGUCCGUCGCCUCGAAGCAUCCGUUGUCCCGAGAUGCUUCGCUCUUAUGGCAUGCUGGAAACGCAAGCACGAAUCGGAGGAACAGCAGAG